rnacentral:lncRNA from 1 species
UUGAGUAGAAGUCCUAUUAGGAGUUGGUUAGAAGUAGGAGUCUUGAGUAGGAGUCCUAUUGGGAGUUAGGAUUUAGAAACCCUAUAAAUAGCCAUGUAUUCCUCCUCUUUUGAUAAGCAAUAGAUGAAUCUUUUCUGCAGCCUUUGAGCAGCAACUUGGAGGGAGGAACCCCUAUAGAGUUCCAGGAGGCCGAUCCCCUAAAGAGAUCAACCCCAAGUUUAGAAUCUGCAAGGGUUCUAACA